rnacentral:tmRNA from 1 species
GGGGGUGAUCGGUUUCGACGACGGUCGUCGUUCCAGGGGAAGCGGGUCGAGGAUGCAUGGUUAUCUCGUUAACGCUCCAUGCAAACCCAUAGGUGCCGAUUCCAAGCGCACCGACUUCGCUCUCGCCGCCUGAGCAAGAGUAGAAGUCCGUCAGUCCCGGAGUGCUUCCGACCGGGGUCCUGGCGUCAUCAAGGAAGCCACUGCCUGUAGUCCUCGUCAUCGGGGCUGCCGGAACAACUAGGUGACUGGGCCCGUCAGCGAGGUGUCUGCGCCAUCGCUGGGGCCGAGCAGAACAGCAGCAGACUGCACCCGGAGAAGCCCUGGCUCAAUACCGUCGGACGCGGGUUCGAUUCCCGCCACCUCCACCA